rnacentral:rRNA from 2 species
CCUUAGAUGUUCUGGGCCGCACGCGCGUUACACUGACGGAGCCAGCGAGUUCUCCCUUGGCCGGAAGGCCCGGGUAAUCUUGUUAAACUCCGUCGUGCUGGGGAUAGAGCAUUGCAAUUAUUGCUCUUCAACGAGGAAUCCCUAGUAAGCGCAAGUCAUCAGCUUGCGUUGAUUACGUCCCUGCCCUUUGUACACACCGCCCGUCGCUACUACCGAUUGAAUGGCUCAGUGAGGCUUUCGGACUGGCCCAGAGAGGUGGGCAACUACCACUCAGGGCCGGAAAGUUAUCCAAACUCGGUCAUUUAGAGGAAGUAAAAGUCGUAACAAGGUCUCCGUUGGUGAACCAGCGGAGGGAUCAUUACUGA